CCCUUAGACGUCCUGGGCCGCACGCGCGCUACACUGACCAGUGCAACAAGCAUCCGUCCUUGGCCGACAGGCCCGGGCAAUCUUUGAACGCUGGUCGUGAUGGGGAUAGACUUUUGCAAUUUUUGGUCUUCAACGAGGAAUUCCUAGUAAACGCAAGUCAUCAACUUGCAUUGAUUACGUCCCUGCCCUUUGUACACACCGCCCGUCGCACCUACCGAUUGAAUGGUCCGGUGAAGCCUCCGGAUUGGCGCGCACCCCGGUGCCGCCGAGAAGUUGGCUAAACCUUACCAUUUAGAGGAAGGUGAAGUCGUANCA
rnacentral:rRNA from 1 species